CUCGUGCUUCGUUCUCGAGAUUAGUAACCUGAAAUAAUAAACUUAUUACUUAUUCACAUCUGUAGUAUCACCCAGGAUUCACCACAUGCACUGAAUGUUGAGAGGUAAAAGAUUUUUUUUUUUUUUUUUUUUUUGUUUGCGAGGUGUUUUUGAUCUAAUACUCCGCUUGUCAUUCACGUUACAGUGCUUCACCACUGCACACGUCUUAUUUCGUCCGUACGAAGUAUUAAGUGUUUAUAUAGUGUUUCUUUGUAACAAAAUGCCGAAGAGGUCGCGUGAUAUCGAUGUGGACGAAUUAAGCAAGAAGCUGCGUAAGCUGGAAAGGAAAUUAAAACGUGUCAAACGUCACCGUUAUUCAACGUCGCCGUCAUCCCGAGAGGACCCCACGCUAUCGGCGCAUAGCUAUGAAGCAGCGGAAAACUCAAUGGACAUCUUCUCGGACGAUGACUGCAACGUGACAAGACCUAGACUGGCAUCAGUUGUACGUGACGUCGCGUCAGAUAAAACAAAGGAGUCGCGGGCGCCGCUGCCUGCGCCAUUGCUCGCGCCGCCCCCUGUGUCAUCCCGCGCGCCGUCCCCUGCGCCGCAAGUACGUGAGCCUUCGCCGCCACCUUUGCCACAAGCCACUGAGUCUUGCCCAGUCAUUGAGCCCAGUGCCAUUGCUGCUACCACCAACGAUCAAAAUAACGAUGAUGAUGACCUGAUAGACAUACUCGGUGAUGAUCCCACCCAAAUCACCGAGUAUGGCAAAGACAUUCACACCGGCCUAGCUAACCGCCUAAACUACUUAAUUGUUAAUGGGCUAGACAACGACGUGCGGAAGGAAUUGGGGAAAAAACACUUGAUACCAGCCAAUUGCCCUAGAAUAAUUCCACCAAUUCUCAAUGCAGAAAUAAAGGCUGCUUUACCCGAAGUAAGCGUGAAACGCGACAAAGGAAUCGAAAACAGGCAAAAGCAACUGGGUACUGCUUUGGCCUGUUUAAGCAACAUCAUUUCAACGAAAAUGCAGGAAAAAGACAAAGACUCUGCCCUCUUAAAACAAUUAAUGGAUGCGGCAAAACUGAUGUGUGACACAUUACACUCGGAUUCAGUCAAAAGGCGGUACUUUGCCUUAUCGUCGUUAAAAAAAAAAAAAAGACGUUAAUGAGCAUUUGGCGCCCACAAAGAUAGACAAAUAUCUUUUCGGGGAAACCCUAGCGGACACAUUGAAGGCUGCCAAAGCUGUGACGAAAUCUGGGGCCGAUAUAAAAGUCACCUAUGAUAAAAAUAGGAACCACAGCCUACCAGCCAACACAUACCAACCACAGCCAUCAACUUCGCGUGGUUUAAACUGGAAGGCUCCCGCUUCGACUCGCAGGCAGUCGGGGCCGCAGAGGAGCCGCCAGCCUUACCCGUCUGCUGGAACGAGGGCGCCACCGCCGCCGACGAGCCGGCCACCGCCGCCGCCGCACGUCAGCUCGUCGAGGACAUCGCGCAAUCAGCCGCGGUCGAUCCGCCGCCGGUAAAUCAGGUUACUAAUCUCUUCGAACGAAGCACUUCGUAUAAUUAUGAUUGAACUUCACGUACAGGUAAGUUCGUUUAAUCAUC
rnacentral:misc_RNA from 1 species